AGUGUGUAUGUAGUGUGUAUAAUGAGUACAUAUUUUAAUUCAGCGAUAGUGAUUCAGCAGUGGAAGUCUCACCUCACUAUUACCACCAUCUUUUGUACACGGCAAAGAGAUUGUGUAGACUUAUC